rnacentral:tRNA from 1 species
GGUCGGUUAGCUCAGUCGGUAGAGCGUCGUGCUGAUAAUGCGAAGGUCGUGGAUUCGAGCCCCACAUCGACCA